GGGGGCUGUUCUCGGACUGAGUAUUUCACUUGACUUCAAAUUCUGAUGUUACAUAAUUCAUGUUUUUUGACAUUCGUUCUCUUACGUUUGUGCAUAGAUUUAGAUUUUUUUUAAUGGUGAAAAAAAUGUUGGAAGUCCUGAACUUAAAUAACAGUAACUUUUGCUCAUUCUAAUUAAUUAGCUUUUUAUAAAAUUCACAGCUGACAACUGCCUUUCUUGUAACAGUAAAACUCACAAUUGCAUGUAUAAUCAUUUUCAAUCACCCGAUUACCUUCAUCAAUCCAUUAUUAGGUCUUCGAAACAUGCCAAUCCCAAAAGGACACCUCUUAAAGUGUAAACCAAUGUCCUUGGCUAAUGCAUCACAUAUAAAGUGAAUUUUAAUUUUAUGCACCGAGUACACCCAAUAAUGUCAUGGGCUGAAGCCUCAUAUAAUUUAUCUCACCAGAAUAUAGUAGGGAGUUUGUUAGGCGGAGAAUUUCGACAUAGAAAACUUUGUUUUUUUUUUUUUUGAGGGAUCCACAUAGAAAACUUACUAACCUUUUUCCUUGUCGUGUAUCCAUUUUACACGGUUUAUAGGGCUAUAUACCCCAUAUUCCGAACUCUAUGGCAGACAUGACAGUAGCUCAAAUUCAACGAGCAAUGGGAGAUGCCAGGAACGAUAACCAUGAAGCCAUCAAAAUGGCAAUUGUACAAGUCUUGACAUGUAGAAAAAAAAAAUCAUUAUCCACUUAGAAUUUUCCCU
rnacentral:lncRNA from 1 species